ensembl:lncRNA
GUGGAAAGUAACAAAGUACAAAUACUUCAAGACAAAAGAGUGUGAGACAAACUUCACUCAGAGAUGAAGGGAGGUGUAGGAUGACAGAGAGGCCACGAGAGAAAGAAGAGAGGUUAGAUUAAAAGGUCAACUAAUGGCUGAAGUCAUGAGUUGAGUUUUGAUACUUAAAGUAUUAAGGUUUGACUCUGCUGAGAUUUCCCUUAUAUACUUGGGUAAGUUUAAUUUUUAUUUUAUUUUUGGGGGGUUAGUAUAUUCAGGUAACUUAGACUACAUAGGGCAAGAGACAAAUUAAGCUCAUUCUAUUAUUUUCCUAAUGCAUAUGCAUAUCACAAAACUGCUGCUACUGUGAAGGAUUUUCACCAUGGUAAGGAUGUUGUGAAAACCUGCUGUUGUGACAGGCCUAAUGUCCAUCACACAUCUUCAAGAGAAAAUUGAAACCACCCUUGCACUUGCCUCUGUAACUGGACAGAAUUCCCUUUUUGGCUUAUGAUGUGACUGUUAAAGGUUUAUAGUUUCCUCUUUGUAUUGGGCGGGUCAUGGCUGUUAGUUUUACGAAGGGAAAAUGUCCUUAGAAAAUGUGUGCAGUGGCCACGGGUUUUUCUCUUGUUAAGGCCGCAUACUUAAUUUAGUUUUUCUACAGGUAUCCUAAGACAGUACUCAGUAGUAAGAGACAAGACAAUAGGUGCAGUUUACUGGCUUAUGGUUAACAGGAAGAAUUUUCCGUGUUUCUGUCCUGUGUGCAGAUUCUUGCCUUGCAUCUGCC